rnacentral:rRNA from 1 species
AUACGUAGGGGGCAAGCGUUAUCCGGAUUUACUGGGUGUAAAGGGAGCGUAGACGGAAUGGCAAGUCUGAUGUGAAAGGCCGGGGCUCAACCCCGGGACUGCAUUGGAAACUGUCAGGCUAGAGUGCAGGAGGGGUAAGCGGAAUUCCUAGUGUAGCGGUGAAAUGCGUAGAUAUUAGGAGGAACACCGGUGGCGAAGGCGGCUUACUGGACUGCAACUGACGCUGAGGCGCGAAAGUGUGGGGAGCAAACAGGAUUAGAUACCCUGGUAGUCCACACUGUAAACGAUGAAUGCUAGGUGUAAGAGGUAUCGACCCCUUUUGUGCCGGAGUCAACACAAUAAGCAUUCCGCCUGGGGAGUACGGCCGCAAGGUUGAAACUCAAAUGAAUUGACGGGG